CCUAGUGGUGGCAGCCGUGAGGAAUAUUGGUCAAUGGACGAGAGUCUGAACCAGCCAAGUAGCGUGAAGGCUGACUGCCCUAUGGGUUGUACACUUCGUUUAUAUGGGAAUAAAAUGUUCCACGUGUGGGAUUUUGUAUGUACAAUAUGAAUAAGGAUCGGCUAACUCCGCGCCAGCAGCCGCGGUAAUACGGAGGAUCCGAGCGUUAUCCGGAUUUAUUGGGUUUAAAGGGAGCGUAGGUGGAGUGUUAAGUCAGUUGUGAAAGUUUGCGGCUCAACCGUAAAAUUGCAGUUGAAACUGGCAGUCUUGAGUACAGUAGAGGUGGGCGGAAUUCGUGGUGUAGCGGUGAAAUGCUUAGAUAUCACGAAGAACUCCGAUUGCGAAGGCAGUUCACUGGACUGCAACUGACACUGAGGCUCGAAAGUGUGGGUAUCAAACAGGAUUAGAUACCCCUGUAGUC
rnacentral:rRNA from 1 species